rnacentral:rRNA from 1 species
UUGGAGGGCAAGUCUGGUGCCAGCAGCCGCGGUAAUUCCAGCUCCAAUAGCGUAUAUUAAAGUUGUUGCAGUUAAAAAGCUCGUAGUUGAAUUUCGGAAUUCUUUUAUCGGUUGAAUCAACAGGUUCGUACUGAUUUUAAGAAUUUCUACCUUCUGGAGAACCUUAAUGUCGUUUAUUUGAUGUUUUGGGAAACCAGGACUGUUACCUUGAAAAAAUUAGAGUGUUUAAAGCAGGCUUAUGUCUGAAUAUAUUAGCAUGGAAUAAUGAAAUAGGACGGCAUGGUUCUAUUUUGUUGGUUUCUGGGAUCACCGUAAUGAUUAAUAGGGAUAGUUGGGGGCAUUAGUAUUCAAUUGUCAGAGGUGAAAUUCUUGGAUUUAUUGAAGACUAACUUCUGCGAAAGCAUUUGCCAAGGAUGUUUUCAUUAAUCAAGAACGAAAGUUAGGGGAUCGAAGACGAUCAGAUACCGUCGUAGUCUUAACCAUAAACUAUGCCGACUAGGAAUCGGACGAAGUUAAUUUUUUAAUGACUCGUUCGGCACCUUACGGGAAACCAAAG